AGCAUCCGUAGCCGGCUCCGUAAGUUUCGGUUAAAUCCAUGUGCUCAACGCAUGGGCUGUCGAAAAUACUGCAUAGCUAGGGAGUGGGAGAGGUAGACGGUACUCGGUAGGAAGGGGUAAAAUCCUUUGAUCUAUCGAUGACCACCUGUGGCGAAGGCGGUCUACCAGAACACGUUCGACGGUGAGGGAUGAAAGCUGGGGGAGCAAACCGGAUUAGAUACCCGGGUAGUCCCGGCUGUAAACGAUGCAGACUCGAUGAUGCAUUGGCAUAUAGCCAGUGCAGUGUCGCAGGGAAGCCGUUAAGUCUGCCGCCUGGGAAGUACGUACGCAAGUAUGAAACUUAAAGGAAUUGGCGGGGGAGCACCACAAGGGGUGAAGCCUGCGGUUCAAUUGGAGUCAACGCCAGAAAUCUUACCCGGAGAGACAGCAGAAUGAAGGUCAAGCUGAAGACUUUACCAGACAAGCUGAGAGGUGGUGCAUGGCCGUCGCCAGCUCGUGCCGUGAGAUGUCCUGUUAAGUCAGGUAACGAGCGAGAUCCUCGCCACUAGUUGCUAUCAUUAUUCUCAGGAAUAGUGGGGCGAAUUAGUGGGACUGCCGUUGUUAAAACGGAGGAAGGAGGGGGCUACGGCAGGUCAGUAUGCCCCGAAACUCUGGGGCCACACGCGGGCUGCAAUGGUAGCGACAAUGAGUUCCAAACUCGAAAGAGAGUGGCAAUCUCUAAACGCUACCACAGUUAUGACUGAGGGCUGUAACUCGCCCUCACGAAUAUGGAAUCCCUAGUAACCGCGUGUCAUUACCGCGCGGUGAAUACGUCCCUGCUCCUUGCACACACCGCCCGUCGUUUCAUCGAAGUUUGCUUUUAGCGAGGUGAUGUUUAAUUGACAUUAUCGAAC
rnacentral:rRNA from 1 species